AGAAAAAAACGGAACGCGCAUUAUUUGUUUUGUUUUGAUUCUGAGUUUUACGUCAGAACAAGCCACUCCGUAGAUUCGGUAAACGACUUCUGGCGUUCGGUGAAGUGCUGAACUGUUGUUUCAGGUAGAAACAAAAUUAUUCGAACGACAAAAACCCGCGGCAGCAUCUGCACAACCCGUGUGCAAAUAUACACCAAUAGAUCGGAGAAGAUUGUGCGUAGCUACGAGUUCUAUCAAUUUCCGACCGGGUGUUUCGUUGCGGCAUUCGGUUCUGUACCAGAAGCACCAGUGAUCGAUUGAAUGAAAUUAUGUCCGAAAGGAAUGCGUUGAUAGAGGCUUACAUCAGAAGCAGCAGAAACAGUCGGAUCUGUCCGAUUUUCUUUCAUCGAUAUCGAUGUGGAGGAGGCUUUUGGAUUACCGACCAAGUGGCAACGAUGAAUUUCUACAAGUACGAGAAACAUUAUCUUCCAAAUCGUCGGAAUUUGUGUGACAGCGUUUAGCGAAAUUGCUUACCGGUGGAAGAUUGCGCUAAUGUAUUUGCUAGUGAGGAAGCCACCUCCUAAUUGAGCAAACCUUCUAGUGCUUAGUAGUGAUGCGUCGUUUUAUUUGAAGUGGCCAGAUUUUGAGUAGAUCGUGUGGAGGAUAAUAUAUACAUGUAGCUGUAUCAAGACCUUUUUUUCAUUUCCGAAACUUCAAGCUAUGUGUAGAGCGUUCCGGUGGAAGCGCCUUCCUCCUUGGUUUUCUUCCCGUGUGAAAUUCGAUUUAAAAUGUGCCUGAUACAGAUCGGAUGGGCCGGAAUUGCCAGAUCUACAGAAAAACAUUCAAACGGAAAACAAUAUUGCUAGGUAUCGAUAACCUCCGGGAAAAGUUGUUUCAGCCAUUAGAUUUUCAUCGCCGUUUUCAACAUUAGAUUGUAAGAAACUUUAGUUGAAAUUGUUAAUUUAAAAACUUAUGUGUAACAGACAAAUCAAAUUACUCAUCAUUUCAAAUGCCAUAAAAAUGUUACGAUGCAUGCUAAUUA